rnacentral:tRNA from 1 species
AAACGUUUGAUGUAAGGAACAUAUUAAAUUUUGAGUUUAAAUAUAAAAAAUAAUUUAACGUUUC